rnacentral:rRNA from 1 species
AGAGUUUGAUCAUGGCUCAGAUUGAACGCUGGCGGCAUGCCUUACACAUGCAAGUCGAACGGUAACAGGUCUUCGGAUGCUGACGAGUGGCGAACGGGUGAGUAAUACAUCGGAACGUGCCCAGACGUGGGGGAUAACGAGGCGAAAGCUUUGCUAAUACCGCAUACGAUCUACGGAUGAAAGCGGGGGACUCGCAAGGGCCUCGCGCGGACGGAGCGGCCGAUGGCAGAUUAGGUAGUUGGUGGGAUAAAAGCUUACCAAGCCGACGAUCUGUAGCUGGUCUGAGAGGACGACCAGCCACACUGGGACUGAGACACGGCCCAGACUCCUACGGGAGGCAGCAGUGGGGAAUUUUGGACAAUGGGCGCAAGCCUGAUCCAGCCAUGCCGCGUGCAGGAUGAAGGCCUUCGGGUUGUAAACUGCUUUUGUACGGAACGAAAAAGCCUUCUCUAAUAAAGGGGGUGAAUGACGGUACCGUAAGAAUAAGCACCGGCUAACUACGUGCCAGCAGCCGCGGUAAUACGUAGGGUGCAAGCGUUAAUCGGAAUUACUGGGCGUAAAGCGUGCGCAGGCGGUUAUGUAAGACAGAGGUGAAAUCCCCGGGCUCAACCUGGGAACUGCCUUUGUGACUGCAUAGCUGGAGUGCGGCAGAGGGGGAUGGAAUUCCGCGUGUAGCAGUGAAAUGCGUAGAUAUGCGGAGGAACACCGAUGGCGAANGCAAUCCCCUGGGCCUGCACUGACGCUCAUGCACGAAAGCGUGGGGAGCAAACAGGAUUAGAUACCCCGGUAGU